rnacentral:lncRNA from 1 species
UAAAAAACAACAAACUCUUCACCACCCUGCAGCCACCAUUUCCUCCUCAGCCUGAUUGCUUUAUUGGUUUUACUGAUUUCUACUUAGUUAUUUGCUUUCUCUUCUUGUUUAUUUGUGACUUUCUCCUGGCAACAGUGGAGAGAAAAUGUUAUUUCAUUGUUUCUUUCAGAGGCAAAUCUGAUAACGGCGACACAAACUGUCAGGAGAAUUGGUGGGCCAGAGGAAUACCUGCCACUACUCAUUUGGCUGAAGAGGAAGAGCUUGCAAGCUCCCUGGUGCUGUCAGGGACUGUGGAAAUCCCUGUGGCCAUGGGGGCUGCUUCUUUGGGUGGUUCAGCAUUUUGCCAGUCCUGGGUUUAGAUUCUCUAGAAAGAAGCUCAUGAAGAGGGGAUGCUUCUGGUCACACUCCUGGGAGGGCCGUGGAGCAUCUUUUAGGGAGAGACUUCAGGAAGGGAGAGAUCUCCAUGAGCAUGGCUGGAUAUGGUAUGGCAGAGAAGGACAUUGGAUGCUGAAGAGUGCUUGGCAGAGUCCCACAACACAUCCACCUUUCCUCUGUAUUAGUUAAACUCUCUUGAAAAUCUACUUGCAGAAGUUCUCCUGGUGGUGCUUGGUGAAGAAGGAGCCCAUGGUGUGCCCUGCAAAUCCUGCUCCUGUGUCCUGGCGAAACACGUCUUCUUUUUUUCACCUAGUGCUGGUGGUUGCUCUGUACCCAGCGGGGUUUGCACUCCUCAUAGAAGAAGUUUGGGAUGAAAUACAUUCAUUUCCUUCCAUGAAUGCGUUCGUGUUUGCAUGAUAAUUUUUCUUCAGCUGUCUUUUUCCAUCAGGUCUGCAUUUUUUUUUUUUCUUUUCCCAGAGCAGUAAAUCAACAGGCUGUGAUUAAAGAUUUAAGAAGCUCCAUCAUUUGCCAGUCCAAAAUUUAAUUUACUGAAACAUCUCUAACUAGCAGGCAGCUGAGUCACGUUUUGUAUUUCUCUUCUCCUGUAUGGAGAGGGACAGAAGACCAGGGACAGCAUGUUUAAAGGCUUCCAGCGCUGCUGAGUUUAUAUAGCAGCCAAAGACGUUGUAGUUGUUCCCCCUCCCUCUUUCAGAGGAAGAUCCUUUUCACUACACAGCUCUAGACCUGUACUUUUCCAUUCACUAGUUGCUACUGUUGUUCUCCUUUUGUUUCCCAAAAGGAAAAAAAAAAGAAGAAGAAAAAAACAGAUGGCUUUGGUGUUGUUUACCCUAGGAAACAUUUUGAGCAUUCAGUAAUAAAACUGGAGGAAAUCCUUCACUUCCUUUAUGCCUCCUAGCAAGUAACCACAUCAAUAUGAAGUGAGGAUGUUUUUGGGUACUGACCCAGU